rnacentral:rRNA from 1 species
GAUGAACGCUGGCGGCGUGCCUAAUACAUGCAAGUCGAGCGAACGGGCUUGAAACUUGCUUCUCUGAUAUUAGCAGCGGACGGGUGAGUAACGCGUGGAUAACCUACCUAUAAGCCUGGGAUAACUUCUGGAAACGAGAGCUAAUACCGCAUAAUAACUUUAACCACAUGUUUCAAGAUUGAAAGACGCUCUUGCUUCACCUUAUGAAGAUACCCCGUGUUAUUAGCUAGUUGGUAAGGGAAAGGCCUACCAAGGGAAACGUGCAUAGCCGACCGGAGGGGGUGAUCGGCAAAACUGGAACUGAGACACGGUCCAGACUCCAACGGGAGGCAGAAUAAGGGAAUCUUCGGAAAGGGGCAAAAGCCUGACGGAGCAACGCCGGGGGAUGGAGGAAGGUCUCCGGACCGAAAACCUCGGUUAUUAGGGAGGAACAUAGGGGUAAGUAACAGCGCACAUCGUGACGGUACCUAAUCAGAAAGCCACGGCUAACUACGUG